rnacentral:rRNA from 1 species
CUACGGGUUGCAGCAGUGGGGAAUAUUGGGCAAUGGGCGAAAGCCUGACCCAGCAACGCCGCGUGAUUGAAGAAGGCUUUCGGGUUGUAAAAAUCUGUCCUUGGGGACGAAGAAGUGACGGUACCCAAGGAGGAAGCCCCGGCUAACUACGUGCCAGCAGCCGCGGUAAUACGUAGGGGGCGAGCGUUGUCCGGAAUUACUGGGCGUAAAGGGUGCGCAGGCGGCGCUUUAAGUCAGAUGUGAAAUACCCAUGCUUAACGUGGGGGGUGCAUUUGAAACUGGAGCGCUUGAGUGCAGGAGAGGAAAGUGGAAUUCCUAGUGUAGCGGUGAAAUGCGUAGAUAUUAGGAGGAACACCAGUGGCGAAGGCGACUUUCUGGGCUGUAACUGACGCUGAGGCACGAAAGCGUGGGGAGCAAACAGGAUUAGAUACCCUUGUAGUC